AAGUCAUCGAUGAAGACAUCUUUCUAAAAACUCCUUUAUCUUUCCCAAGCCUCAUAUAAGCUUUCAUCUUCUAGUUGGUGAAAAGAAGUGAUCUCAUUCCGUAACUU
rfam:Citrus clementina cultivar Clemenules unplaced genomic scaffold scaffold_5, whole genome shotgun sequence.